rnacentral:lncRNA from 1 species
UUUUUUUUUAAAAACUAAAAAAUAAACAAGACAUGUCGUAAAAUCUCAACUCUCUUAUUAUCCACUACUCUUAUAGAGUUAAAGUUUUCUACCCCAAUGAGCCAAACAAUUAUCCAAAGUUAUAUAUAUAAUAUGAGUAUUGUUGUGAGGUAUUCUUGUGCAAAGUAAAAGGUCAUUUACAAUGACUUUUGUCUUAGUUAAUUAUAUAUUUUUUAAUAUAUUUUUAAGGAUACAUGUUAGUUUAGGUUUUUUUUUUAUUUCAAUAAUGUAAAAAAUAAAAUAUAUAUACCAAAAAAGGGUUUAUAAGGAAGUUAAUUCCAAGAAUAAGUUUUUUACGUGUAUCUUGAUAUUUAUAGUUGUUAAGAUCAAAGCAAUGUCUUGUGUCCCCAAGUUUUUAGAACCUAUUGGAAUCAAAAUUAAUGAUUAUGGAAUGAUUAAAGUAACUUGACACGAAAUUGUAAAUUUUUGAAAACCAUAAAUUGUAACAAUUUAUAUAUUUUUUUAAUGCUUGUAAAUAACCUAACCCUAAAACCUAUAGAUAGCUCAUUCCAUAGUAAAAUUUUAAAAAUGUAAACCCAUGGGUAUCGAGAUCGUAUUAAAAACCCUAACAAAACCUUAAACCUAAAACAUAUAGAUAGCCCAUCCAAUUUGUUUAUUUUACAUAAAAAAUUCAAAAUUGCUUUUGGGACCCAAUAUGGACAUUACGAAUUCUUAUUGAUGUCAUUUGGACUUACAAAUGCCCCUACAACAUUCAUGGACUUGAUGGAUUGAAUAUUUGAACCGUACCUAGACCAAUUUGUGGUGGUGUUUAUUGAAGACAUCCUUCUGUAUUCCAAAACCAAAUAGGAUCACGAUAAACAUCUGAGAGUUGUGUUGCAAACUAUGAGGGAGAACAGUUAUAUGCAAAGCUUAACAAGUAUGAAUUCUGGUUGAAUGAAGUAGCAUUUCUAACACAUGUGAUACUAGUUGAUGGAAUCAAAGUUGAUCCAAAAAAAAUCCAAGCCAUUUUAGAAUGAAAAUUACCUAACUAAAAUUAGCAACUUCUUAGGAUUGGUCGAUUAUUAUUGACAAUUUGUGAAGGGAUUUUCAAUGGUUACUUCCUUUUUAACCUUGUAACUCCAUAAGAACAUUCAAUUUAAAUAAGUGACAAGAGUCAGGAAAGCUUUAAAAAAUUGAAGAUAAUUCUCAACGAGGCAUUAUUUUUGACAAUCCAAAAAAGGUUGUGGUUUUCAGUGAUGCGCUACAUAAUGAACUAAGAUGCGUAAUAAUGCAUGAAGGUAAGGUGAUUGUUUAUGCUUCAAGGUAACUACAACCAUAUGAAAAGAACUAUCCAACUCAAGAUAUAGAAUUGUUUUUUGUUGAAGAUUUAAAGGCAUUAUUUGUAUGGUGAAAAGUGUUACAUUUACACCAAUUAAAAGAGGUUGAAAUAUUUAUCACUCAGAAAAAACUCAAUAUGAGGCAAAAAAGGUGAAUUGAAUUGCUAAAAUUACGAUUGCAUCACUAAUCACCACCCCAAUAAACCAUACCCAGUAGUUUAUGCACUAAAUAGGAAACCCUUAUGAGGUAAUAAAUUUGAAGUUAAGAUAUUAAAUAUAUUAUGUGAAUUAGUGAAAUGUGGUCAUAAUUAAAUGAUCUUUGUUAUGUGUAGCAUUUGAGGCUAUGAGUACGCAUUUGAAAAUGGUAGAAAACGGGGUAAUUCUUACCCAAUUGAAGGUUAAGCCGCCCUUGCUUCAACAAGUAAUGGAUUCUUAGGUAAAGACAAGAAAUUAGUGACUAAAUGUGAACAUAUUAAGGUAGGGAAUUUGAUUGAGUUUGAACUAAAUGAAGAGGGCAACUUGUACUUUAAAGGGAGGUUAUGUACCCCUAAUGUCGAUGAGUUGAAGCUAGAUAUCCUUAGAAAAGCUUAUUGUAGUUCUUACACUAUGCACUUUGGUAGUACUAAAAUGCAUCAGAACAUAAAGGCUUACUAAUGGUGGCCCGAUAUGAAACGUGGCAUAGUUGAAUUUGCGACAAAUGCUUAACUUUCCAACAAGUAAAGGUCAAACAUCAAGUUUCAUCAUGAUUAUUGAAACCAAUCUUGAUACCUAAAUGGAAAUGAGAUCAUGUAACCAUGGAUUUCAUGGUUGUUUUUACCACUCACCAAAAAAGGAUGCAAUUUGGAUAACAAUUAAUCAAUUGAUGAAAUUUACCCAUUUUCUACCUAUCAAAGCCAACUAUACGUUAGACAAGUAUGUAGAGUUAUAUAUCAAUGAGAUAGUGUGACUUCAUGGUGUGCCUAUCUUUAUCAUCUCUAAUAAAGACCCAAGAUUCACUUCGAAACCUUGGGAUCCAUUGUAACUCUAACGAACUUGAUCCUUAAAUAAAAUAGAUGAAAGUCAAAUAUUGUCUCACCAAGCAUGUUACAAAUUUGCACAUAAAUUGGAGACAAAAGAAAGAAUUUUAUUAUUAAAAUUUUAAGGUUAAAUUUUUUGGAUAAAUCCUUUGAGUCUUCUUUUCAGUGGAGCUUCAAUCCAAGGGGUUGUUUAGAGUUGACCUUGUAUUGAUACAAUCUACUUAAAGGAUUGUCGAGACUUAAUCUUGAAAACAAGUUUGAUCUCCUUUGUGUUGACAUGAUUAAAUUUAAAAGAGCUUUGAUUCAAGGAUCUUCGAAACUUGAUCUUGGAUGAUUCCGCUUCAAGGCCCUUCUAGACUUGAUUUUCAAGAACGACAUUUGACCUCAUUUCUUUUAAGAAUUAGGAUUAGGUGGUAGCUUUUGAGAAUUCCUUGAGAACUAUCCUAGGAUUCUAAAUUCCUUCAAAACUAUUGAAGAGUUUCUUAAUUAUGCCCUUUUGAACUUUAUGAACUUGUGCUGAAUGAUUUUGAGGUGAUCCCUUGUUAUAGUACCAAUAACAAAUUUCUUCUAGAUUAUGGUUUCUUCAGAUGACUGACCGAUAAGGAUUAUAUCUUUUAUUUGUUAUUUAUCUCAUGGUUAAAGAUAAAAUAAUUCUUAAAGAAUAUGAUAUCCAUAUUAAAAAGUAGUAAAAUGAUUUAAUUUUUGAUUUAUCUCUUAAUUGAUUUAAUUUAUUUAAAAACAAAUAACAUUUGUGCAUUAUGAGUUUUAUUUGGCUCAAAAUUUCCUCCUUUUGUAUAUAUAUUAAUUUUUUUAUAAACUGAACUAGGAUAAUGCUCGAUUGAAUCGAGUAAAAAAAUUCAAGUUAAUCAAGUUGAGGAUUCUUAUUUUAUCAACCAAACUCAAUUUAAAAUUUUUUGAAUCAAGUUGAAGGAAAAGAUAUUCGAUAAAUUUGUUUAAGUUAAAUUAAAAUAAUUUAAAAAAUCAAGUAAAACGUUGUUAAUAAUCUGACUAACUUUCAAGUUAGGGCCUCUAAAUUUGAGAGCAUUACAUUUGAAAGUUUCUUUCAAAGCAAAAUAUUAAUAAAAAUGCUUUAGAAAUUUUUUAGAAAAUAUUAUAUAAAUUUUGGAAAAAUUUUAUUUAAUUUUUUUAAAUUUUUGAAGAUUUUUUUUUUGUGAUACUUUUAAACUUGGGGAAAAUUUAUUGAUUUUUAAUUUUUUUAAUCUUUAAAAUAAUAUUUUGAAUUUUGUUUUUGAGAUUUUUGUUAUACUAACCUAACAUAAUAAAUCUAAAGCUCGAGGAAUUAGCAACUCAAAAAACCCAUACUCCAAUACUCUUAAGCAACACUUAUCAUAGUGCUACAAGUAAACAUCAUAACUCGACAAGCAAUGAAAUUAAAAGAAUGGUAACUUAUAUAGUGACCUUAAACACGAUCAUAUUUAGUUAAGGACACAUCAGCCAACCUGAAAAGGACCAUAUGCUCUUAUACAAAGCGAAAAGUCACCAAUAAGCUAAUGAAAUUAAAGAAAAAUUGUUGGAUAGCCUCUUAGAAUACAAACUCUGACUCUCCGAUAGUUCUUCUUAUGUUUGAAAGCCUCGACCUUUCUUAAUUCACCUUAUCUACCUCUAAGCCCAUUAUAUUCCCAAUAAGGCCAAACACUUUAUAUGAAUUUAUGAUUCUAAAAAUUUAUUUGAAUUUUUCAUUUUUAGAAUUGUUAGAAUUUGUGUGACCCGAAUCCCGUCACUUGUUGAAGAAAUAAAUACAGUCGUAAAAUAAGGGGAUCUAUGGGGGCAAGAGGUCGAGAGUCCAUAUAGAACUACACUUCUUCUAUUUGACAUUGAUUAGAACAGGGCUUUUCAACCCUUAAAUAGAUGUAGUCAAAACUCCUCUUGUAUCAUUCUUUUUUCAACAUUAGAGAAUUUCUUCUCAUUUGCCUGUGAUUUUUUCCCUAAAGGAUUUCCAUGCUAAAUUUGUGUGUUCUUAUUUUUCUUAUUUUGCGAUCAUUUUAUUUCCAUUAUCUAUGUCUAUUAUAAUAAACUAGUAUCAAAACUUUCAGAUUGCUUGUUUCGAUCACGGUAAUGGCGACAAUGAAGUAUGAUAUUUUGCUGUUGGAUCGCAACACCAAGUUUGUGUUAUGGUAGGUAAAGAUGCAGGCAGUUCUUACGCAGAUGGGUUUGGAAGAUAUCCUGCUAGGUUAAAUAAGAUGCCUUCAAUAUUGACGCCUGAAAAGAAUAAGCGUAAAGAUCGAAAGGCUUUAACGCAAUUAUAUUUGCAUCUAUCGAAUGAAAUUCUACAGGGUGUGUUGAAGGAAAAGACCGCUGCUGCAUUAUGGGCAAAGCUGAAGUAGUUAUGCAUGUUAAAAACCCUAACUAACAAGUUGCAUCUGAAGCAGCAUAUUUAUUCUCAUUGUUUGGAAAAAGGUGUGCAUGUGCUCAAACACUUAAUUGUGUUUAAAGAAAUUGUCUCGAACUUAGAGGCCAAUGAGGUUUAGUAUGAUAAAGAAGAUUUAGGGUUAAUUCUAAUUUGCUCAUUGCCCCUAUCUUAUUUAACUUUUAGAGAUACGAUUUUGUAUAGUCGCGAACCUCUCACAAUUGAUGAAGUCUAUGCUUUUUUAGCCUCGUAUGAUAAGAUGAAGUAUCUUGUGGCUCGAUCUAACUCUCAGGGAUAGGGUCUUAUUGUUCAUGGGAGAUAAGAAUGAAAUACUGAUGAUAAUCGUGGGUGGACAUAGGAAAAUCCUCAUAGUAAAUCUCAAGGUAGAUCAAGAUCUUCAAAUAAAGGUAAAACCUGUAAUUUCUGCAAGAAGAAAGGGCACAUUAAGUCUGAUUGCUAUAAAUUACAAAAUAAAAUCAAAAGGGAGGUUAUGAAUCAAAAAGGAAAACAAAUCAGAACAAUCCGGUGAAGUUGAUGUAGUAGAAGACUACAACAAUGGUGAACUCUUAGUUGCUUUUGUUAACAACUCUAAAGUGAGUGAGGAGUUUAUGCUCGAUUCUAGUUGCACCUUCUAUAUGAGUCCCAAUCGGGAUUGGUUUUACAACAUAUGAAACAGUGUCUAAAGGUGUUAUUUUGAUGGGAAAUAAUGCUUCAUGUAGAAUCGUAGGCACUGGCAAAAUCAAAAUUAAGAUGUUCGAUAGAGUCAUCAGAACACUUAGUAACGUACAACAUAUACCAGAAUUGAAGAGAAAUUUGAUUUCGUUGAGUAAUCUUAAUUCAAAAGGGUACAACUACACAACUGAAAGUGGGGUUCUAAAGAUUAGCAAGGGUUCCCUUGUUGUGAUGAAAGGGCACGUAACACCCCAUACAUGGCCAGGUCGCCAAGCCCGAAUAUGAAGGUGCCACACCACUGUCUCAUGUCAAAUACUACAAGUAAAAGUUCAUUCAUAACAAAAUGUCUUCCAUUUUAACAUUCAUGCAGCUUUAGAGUUUAUCUUAAGCUUUAGUUAUCAUCGUUAUGCUAACAUACAUCACAUAGCCUUAAAAUAAUAAUUAAGCUUUCAUAUGGUCCGUUUUAGCAAAAUCUCAAAACAUCAACGUAGGUAUCAAUACUAAAGACAUGGUAUCGAUAUUUUGCUUAAGAGGUAUCAAUACCACUUGAAAAAUUGGUACCAAAAUUGCAUUAUGUUUCUCUAUUAAAAGCCUAAAGUCUUGAAAAAUAUGGAUACCUUUCAUGAAGUAUUGAUAAAUUUACCUCGAGUAUCGACACUCGAGAAAAGGUAUUGAUACCAAAUCUCUAUCCCGACUUCUUAUAUGUUUCAAAACACAGAGGUAUCGAUUUUAAAACCCAAUUAUCAAUACAUCUACUCCAGACCUCAAAAAUACAACAUUUUUAAGCAUAUAAGCCAUUCCAAUUCGUACCAAUUCAACAUUCUAUCAUAUCAUCAUCAAAUAUACAUCGAAAAAGUCAUAAUAAUAACAUCAAAAGAAAAUCCAAGCAAUACUUAACAUAUUAUGAAACAAAUCCCAAAAUCCUAAGAGCAAUUAAAUCAUGGAGACAACUUAAAAUAUCAUGUCCAAUAUUAGCGGAAGGACUACCACAUUUCCUUAUUCCCAAAACAUAACCAAAUAAUAAACACCUACAAAUAACGAAAGUGGACUUGCUUGGAUCACCCCUGGAGAAGCCACACCGCUCACACCAGCACACAACUAAUUUGCAAAGUUUAAGAAGAGAGUAGGUGAGCUUAACAAGCUCAAUGAAUGCUCCAAAUAACCACAGUGCAAACAAUUCAUCAAGCAUCAAUGAAACAACUAUAUAACAUAACCUUAACAGUUUCAUUUCUAGUGUCAUAUUAUACUUACUCGUGCAUUAUUACUAGUUCUUUUACAUGGGAAACAUAUUCACUUUUAAGCAUAUAUCACAUUACGCAUAUAAUUACAUAAUGUUCAAACACAUUUCGCAGUACCUAUAUAAUCGGAUAACAUUCAAGCAUUUAUUGCAGUACUUAAAAAUAGGUUUAUAGAUAAAUUGUGUAAAGGUCACAUGUCACAUAAACACAUAUCACAACACACACAUAUUGAUCAUUUAAGAUAAUUUGCAUAGCAACCACAUACUCAUUUAGGCAUAUAUCAUAGAUACAUUUUAAGAUAAUUUGGCACUUGAGUUAUGAAACAUAAAAGUGAGCUCUAUCAUCACUCAUUAGAUACACGGAUCUCUAACACACCAAACAUAGACUCAUAGAGUCAAACAUGUCCCAAAAGUGAAGCAUAAAGCUAACACUCUCCUUAUUUCCUCUCACAUAUCCCGUUGAAUGGAGCGUAGUUCACAUUCCCUUAUCCUUCCAACAUGUCCCAAGGCCUCAAUGCCAAAAAUUAUUGUACAUAUAGGUGAGUACUCACAAUCCUAUGGCAUGCCAACUAUAUCCAACGGUUUCAAUAAUCAUAAGGCCAAAGUAUCCGAAAUCAAACACAUAUCACUUACUGACUAUGUGUGCAUAAUCAUUGCAUAUUUGUAUCUUUAGCAAAACAUUGUCACUAACAUAUACAUAAUAUGUACACAUUUGCACUUUCACAAUAGUUAUCAUAUCCACAUAUCACAUAUUUACAAUCACAUAAGUACAUAAUUCACAAGAUAAAUAUAGGUAUGAGAAAGCUUACACUCAAAAUUUAAAGUAGGGGUUUAGGCUACUACUAAAUUCCCAAAUAAUGCAUUGAAUCAUGUCCACAAGCAAUUUUCUCAAACACUCACCAAUUAUGCUUUCGCCAAAAAGCCGAAAGCUUAAACUAGAUUUUCCUUGCCUUUAUCUCUACUCGUAGAAGGUUCUAUCGAAUCCGAAACUUCAACACAACAAAUUCACACAACAAUACAUCCAAAAAUCAGCAAAGGACUCAUUACAAGCAUACCAAAAAUAAGCCUAAACUUAGUUCUCAUGUAACCGUAACUUAUAACAUAGCAAACUUUAAAUUCGAAUAUCUCGAUCUAUACUUAUAAUCUUUUCACCUAAAACCAAUUUUGUUCAUUUUAUAAUUCACUUACGACUAAUUCUCAACCUUUAAACUACACAAAAAUAUUCAAUUCAAUAUUCGGCUUUUUCGACAUGUUUUAUGGCUAUUUUCUAAAAAUUCAUUAAAACUCAAGAAAUCUUUAACAGAAAUUUAAAGUAAGUCUAGAAAUAUUCUAAUAAUGUUAAAACUAAUUGAAAAACACUUUGAAACCACUUUUUAUGUAAAAUCCUGAAAUUCACCAUUAAAGAUCUGAUUUUUGGCUUUUAUUUAAAACAUGCAUUUCAAUGGCUAAAAAUUCAGCUUAAGGGACUUGUUAUCAUUUAAAACUCAUAAUAAGUCGAAUGGUUACCUUUGAUGGAAGAAAAACGAGCUUUAACGCUAAUUUGGAAAAACCCAUGUUUAGAGAAAAUGAUGUAGAUGAUGAAGCUUUUAGGUGAUUUUCUUGGUUUUUAUAGAGGUUUAUGGUUCAAUGGUGAUAGAAAUCAAAGAGGAUUAGGAAUUAGAAGUAAAAAUUGAUUGAGAUAGUAAAGGGAAAACAAAUGGAUGACACCAAUAUGGGGAAGAAGAAGUUGACGUGACAAAUAUUUGGAAAAGGGGUUUUUAGGUUGAUUUUAGACAUUUGGUCAAAUUGCUUCAUAAAAACUCUCAAUUUUGACUCUUUUACAAAUUAGUCCUAUUUUUAAAAUUAAAGGUAUUUAAAACUCAUUUUCAGAAAUUGAUUUAAUUUUCUAAAAAUCAUAAUUCAAAACAUUAUCGGUAUGCCAUGUCACAAAAUUUCGAAUACUCUAAUGCUAAAUUUCCUAAAAUACCCCUAAAACUCUUAGGUCCUAUUUGGGGUGUUACAGGGCAAGUAAGAUUGCCAAGUUAUAUAUUUUGCAGGGUUCAACUAUUACUGGUGAUGCCAUCGUUGCUUCCUCUUCCUUGUCAAGUGAUGAUGUUACUAGAAUUUUGCAUAUGUGUCUAAGGCAUAUAAGUGAGGGUGGCAUGACAUAAUUAAGGAAAAGAGGACUUUUUGAUGGACAAGGCAUUAGCAAAUUGAAGUUCUGUAAGCACUGCAUUUUUGAGAUGCAAAAGAGAGUUUGAUUCAUUAGAGGAACCCAUUACAUGAAGGGAACACUGGAUUAUAUUCAUUAUGAUCUUUGAGGACCAUUUACAAUGCCCUCAAGGGGUGGCGUUAAUUAUAUGCUGACGCUUAUUGAUAUUUUUCUAGAAAAGUUUGGCCAUUCUUCUUAAAGUAAAAAAGUAAUGUGUUUUCCAUGUUUAAGGCUCAAAAGAUUAUGAUCGAGAAACAGAUAGGAAAAUAGAUAAAACACCUCUGUACAGAUAAUGACUUAGAAUUUUAUUCUGAUAAGUUUAAUGAAUUGUGCACAUUAGAAGGAAUCAUGAUACACAUGACAGUUCGCCAUACUCUAUAGCAAAACCUAGUUGCAGAACGAAUGAAAAAAUAAUCAUGGAAAAUGUUUGAUGUAUGUUGUCGAAUGCUUGUUUAGCGAAGUCGUUUUGGGCUGAAGCAGCCUUUACUGCAUGUUUUUUGAUUAAUCGGUCUCCGUCCGUGACCAUUAAGAAAAAGACUCCACAAGAGGUAUGGACUAGUACUCCUGUCAAUUAUUCUGAUUUGAAGAUUUUUGGGUGUCCUGUGUAUGCUUUGAUAAUGGUAAAUUGGAACCUAGAUCUAUUAAGUUUGUUUUUCUUGGAUAUAAGGUUGGUGUUAAAAGGUAUAAGUUAUGGUGUCCUAAAAAUAGAAAAGUUGUAAUUAACAAAGAUGUUAUUUUUUUAUGAAACUACUAUGUUGCCUAACUUACCCUUUAAAUACUCUUCCGAUAAAGAUCAGCAGAAAUCAAACAUAAACGUGAACCAGGUAGAGCUUCAGAUUGAUCCAGGAUCUAGAACAGAGUCUACUACUCAAGUUAGUACAGAAACUUAUAGUAGAUUUGCUUCUUCACCACAAUUAGAAUCACAAUAUUCUAUUGCCAAGAACAAAACUAGAAGAGAAACUAAACAUCCAAAGAGGUUCACCAAGGUUGAUCUAUCUACUUAUGUUUUAAAUGUGACUGCAUAUAUAAAUGCAAAUCAAGAAUCAUCUACUUAUUCUGAAGUAGCUAGCUGUGAAAAUUCAGGACAAUGAAUGAUUUUCAUGCAAGAAGGUAUAAAAUCACUCCAUAAAAAUUGUACCUGGGACCCAGUGGAGAUCCCUAAGGGUAAAAAGGUUGUUCGUUGUAAAUAAGUGUUCAAGAAGAAAGAAGGGACUCUAGGAGUUGAAGAACCUAAGUAUAAAGCAACGCUGGUUGCAAAGGGUUAUAGUCAAAUUCCCAGUGUAAACUUCACAGAUGUGUUUUCUCCUGUUAUUAAACAUAGUUCGAUUCAAGCUUUACUUGGUAUUGCGACCAUGUAUGAUUUAGAGCUUGAACAGUUAGAUGUGAAAAUAACAUUCAUGCAUAGAGAACUUGGGGAAGAUAUUUACAUGCAACAAUCAGAAGGUUUUAUAGUCUCAAAAAAGGAAGACUAUGUUUACUUGCUGAAAAAAUCCCUUUAUGGCUUGAAACAGUCAUCUGUGCAGUGGUACAAGAGAUUUGAUUCAUUUAUGACUACUCAUGAUUUCAAAAGAAGCAGUUUUGAUAGUUGUAUUUAUUUUAAGAAAAAUUGUGAUGGUUCAUCUAUAUAUCUACUCUUUUAUGUUGAUGACAUGUUGAUAGCAACCAAAGAUAAAAGAGAUAUAAGAAAGGUCAAAGUCAAGCUUAGUAAAGAAUUUUAGAUGAAAGAUUUGGGAGCAACAAAGAAGAUACUUAGGAUAGAGAUUCUUAGAGAUAGAAAAGCAUGUAAAUUGUACUUAAGUCAAAAAGGAUACAUUGAGAAAGUUUUUUGUAAGUUCAAUAUGUUGAGUGUCAAGUUUAUUAGUACUCCAUUAGCAGCCCUCUUUAGACUUUCACCGGUUUUGUCUUCGCAAUCAGAUGAUGAGAUUGACUACAUGUCACGUGUUCCAAAUUCUAGUCCAGUGGGAUCUUUCAUGUAUGCAAUGGUUUGUUGAUGUCCAGUUUCUGGUGAUGCCAUUCGGCUUAACAAAUGCACCUGCUAUGUUUAAGGAUUUGAUGAAUAGAAUUUUCAGCUCGUAUUUAGACAGGUUUUUGGUGGUAUUUAUAGAUGAUAUUUUGGUUUACUCUCGAGAUGAAAAUGAGCAUACUGAGCAUUUGAGAAUAGUGUUGUAAACUCUGUGAGAGAAACAAUUGUACGCCAAAUUCAGUAAAUGCGAAUUUUGGCUACAGGAAGGUAGUUUACUUGGGCAUAUAGUAUCUGCUAAAGGUGUCAGAGUAGACCCGAAUAAAAUUUCAGCCAUUGUUAAUUGGAAGCCACUGAAGAAUGUGUCUGAAGUCUGAAGUUUUCUGGGACUAGGUGGUUAUUAUCAGAGAUUUGUAAAAAGUUUUUCAAUGAUAGCUUCUCCGAUGACUCGUGUGCUAUAGAAAGAUGUAAAAUUUGAAUGGACUGAUAAAUGUCAGUAGAGUUUUGACAAAUUAAAAGCUUUAUUUGAUAGAAGCUCCAGUAUUAGUUCAGCCAAAAUCAGGUAAGGAAUUUAUAGUUUACAGUGAUGCGUCAUUGAAUGGUUUAGGCUAUGUUUUGAUGCAAGAUAGUAAAGUAGUAGCCUAUGCUUCACGACAGCUAAAGCCACAUGAAAAGAACUACCUGACACACGAUCUUGAAUUGGCAGCCAUUGUGUUUGCAUUGAAAAUUUGGCGGCAUUACUUGUUUGGAGAAAAAUGUCACAUAUUCACUGAUCAUAAAAAUCUGAAAUACUUGAUGUCACAGAAAGAUUUGAAUUUGAAACAGCGUAGAUGGGUUGAAUUAUUGAAAGAUUAUGAUCUUGUUAUUGAGUAUCAUCUGGGAAAAGCCAAUGUGGGUUUGAUGCUCUGAGUAGAAAAUCCAUAUUUUCCUUGCGAGCUAUGAAUACUCAAUUGUCAUUGUCUGAUGAUGGUUUAAUCAUAGCUGAGUUAUAAGCUAGACCAACAUUUUUGCUACAAAUUUCUGAAGCUCAGAAAAAUGAUAAUAAGUUGCAAGCAAAACAGAUACAAGGUGAAUCGACUCUUAACUCAGAAUUUUAGAUCAGGACUAACAGUUGUUUGUUAUUCAGAGGCAGGGUAUGUGUACUGAAAAGUUCCAAACUAGUACAGAAAAUUUGAAUGAAGCUCACAAUGGUAACAUGUCUAUUCAUCCUAGUAGUAAUAAAAUGUAUAAUGAUUUGAAAAAGAUGUACUGGUGACCGGGAAUGAAACGAGAUAUUUCUAAGUUCGUAUCUAAGUGCUUGAUAUGUCAGCAAGUAAAAGCUGAAUAUCAGUUGCCUUCUAGACUAUUACAGCUGGUUACGAUACUGGAAUGGAAAUAGGAAAGAAUUAUCAUGGACUUUGUAACGGGAUUAUCCCUAUCUCCAAAGAAGAAGGAUGUCAUUUGGUUAAUCGUUGAUCGGUUGACAAAGUCUACACACUUUACUCCGGUACGUAUAGAUUAUUCCUUGGAUAGAUUGGUUGAAUUAUACGUUUCUGAGAUUGUCAGAUUGCAUGAAGUGCCUAUCUCUAUUAUUUCAGAUAGAGACCCUAGUUUACAUCUCAAUUCUGAAGCAAAUUGUAAGAAGCUCUGGCUACUCAGUUACAUUUUAACACUAAAUUUCAUCCCUAGAAGGAUGGUAAAUCUAAACGGGUAAUACAGAUCUUAUAAGAUAUGCUUCGGUGUUGUAUACUUGAGUUUCAAGGUAACUGGGAAAGGUAUUUGCCUUUGGUUGAAUUUGUUUAUAAUAAUAGUUAUCAGUCUAGUAUCAAAAUGGCACCGUAUGAAGCCUUGUAUGGACGUAAAUGUAGAACUCCAUUGUAUUGGCCAGAACUCAGUGAGAAAAAGUUACACGGAGUUGACUUGGUCCGAGAGACAUAGGAAAAAGUGAAAGUAAUUCGAGACAGCUUGAAAGUAGCCUCUGAUCGUCCAAAGUCUUACGCUGAUUUGAAACGAAAAGAAAUAGAAUUUCAAGUCGGUGACAAAGUAUUCUUGAAAGUUUCACCUUGGAAGAAAGUUCUCCGAUUUGGUCGCAAAGAAAAACUAAGUCCACGGUUUAUUGGACCAUAUGAGAUUAUAGAAAGAAUUAGAAAGGUUGCAUAUCGGUUAGCUUUGCCACCGGAGCUUGAUCAGAUUCAUAAUGUUUUUCAUGUGUCUAUGCUAGGUGGUAUCGAUCCAAACCUUCACAUGUUAUCUCUCUGACAGAGGUAGAGAUUCAGCUUGAUAUGACAUAUGGUGAAGAACCAAUUAAAAUCUUAGCCCGGGAAACAAAAGAGUUAAGAAAUAAGAAGGUAGCUUUAGUAAAAGUUAUUUGGCAACGUCAUGGCAUUGAAGAAGCUACCUGGGAGUUGGAGGAUACUAUGAGAAAGAAAUACCCGAAUCUCUUUACUGGUAAGAUUUUUUAGGAUGAAAAUCCCUAAAAGAGGGGAGAGUUAAAACAGCCCAUUUUUCAGUGAAAUCAAAACAGUGGUUUUGGGACCACAAAUCCGAUCUGAAAAUAAGGUUUAUUUUUUUAUUUCAUUAUAUGGUCCGUAUUAUAAUAGGCAUGUCGUGUGAAAAUGUUGAUAUGAAAAUUUUAUCGAUUAAGUGUUUAAUUACAAUAAGGACUAAAUCGCAUAAAAUGCGAAAGUUGAAUUCUAGUAGCUAUAAGGAUUAAAUAGCUAUGGAAAUCAAUUCUAGAGGUCUUUAUAUGGUAAUUAGACCAUUAAGAAAACUAUGUAGAUUUUUCUUGGUGACUCAUCCAUGAAAAUAUAGAAAAAUGGCAAGGACUAAAUUGGAAAUAGCAAAAUACUUAAUUAAUUAAAAGUUGAAAAAGAAAUAUAUCAUCUUCUUUUCAUCAUCUUCAACCUAAAAACAUAUGGAAACCCUAGGUGAGAGAAAAGAAACUUUCAAGACCUAAUUGGGUAAGUUUCCUUGUCCCGUUUUAGUAAUUUUGAUAUUGUAAAAACUGAGAUAGCUUAAUCUCUCUAUUUGAAGGAUUAAUUUGAAAAGUUAUCAAUGUAUGAAAAAUGGGUCAUGGAUGUAUAUGCUGGAAAUUAGAAAUUUAUGGUAGAAAAUGAAAGAUUUUUUAUCGAUAAACAACUUUUACAAAGUGAUUUUUGAUGAAAACAUGAUUUAUGGACUAAAAUUAAAAGUUGUAAAAUUUGAUGAAAAAUUCUAAAAUUUUAUGAAUACAUGUGCUGUAAAAUUUGUAAUGGGGCUUUGGUUUGGCUUGGAAUAAGGAUUAAUUUGCACAAGUUUCAUUUCCGAGCCUAAGGACAAAAUUGAAAUUUAUGAAAAAGUUAGGGGCAAAAUGGUAAUUUUUCCUAUGAUGUAAAUUGAGUCCAUUUGAAUAUGAAAUGUGUGAAAUUAAUGGUUAAAUUCAUUUAUAUAGAUCCGAAAAACACUAAUUUGAAGUUAGAUCAAAGAAAAAGAAAGGUUUCGGAUUAGUAGACUUUCUACGCGAACAAGUGUCGAGGUAAGUUCAUGUAACUUAAUCCGACAUGUAAAUAUGUUAAAUUGAAUAUUGUGUUGGAAUGUGACUUAUAUUUAUGUACAUUACUUGAAUGUUAUAAUGAGAAAUUUAAUUCAUGCUUGUUAUGGUGAAAAAGGGUUAAGUCCCGAUUGAAUAUUGAAUUCCGAUAAUUAUAUGCACUUUCCCAAAACUAACAAGGUGUUGCAUUUGUUGCGAAUGGGAUUUAGCUCGGACAGGAUUUAGUUCAGAAAAGUAAUCCCAUAAACCUUGUUAUAGAAAGAAUUUUGCCCGGAUAGGUAAUCCUGUUAUAAUACCUCUCGAGUAUACAUUACGAUUAGGGUUUAACCUGGAUUGGUAAUCCUAAUUGAGCUUUUGAGCAUAUAUUAUAUAAGGAUUAGCUUGGACUGGCAAUCCUAUUAUACGAUAUGUGACUCGAGAGCAUGUUCCUUAGUUAAGUGCCCUAAGAGGUACCCUUGAAUAGAAUUGACGGAUUCUUGAAUCGUACACCCCGAGUGUGCUACUUGAGCAUCCAUCAGAAUUUCAAUGAUUCAAUAGACAUAUAUCUCUAGACAUGGCAUGAUAAUUAUGAGAUGAAAUGAUAAUGUCUUGAAAGUGUAUUGUUUGAUGAGCUCACCUAUUCUUACUUGAUGUAUAUGUAAACUUUGUGACUAACAUGUUUGAUUGGAUACAUGUGUUUAGGCAGUUUAGCCAAAUGGAUGGAAAACUUGUUAUUGUAUGCUUAGAUUUAACAAACGGGAUUGGUAAGUUUAGUUUCCGUUUACAAACUCACUAAGCAUAUAAUGCUUACUUCGUUUAUUUUUCUCCUGUUUUAUAGUGUUCGUAAGCUUGCAAAGGUUGGAGAUCGUUGGAGCAUCGUCACACUAUCAGCUAGUCAUUUUGGGUAAAAUUAGUAAAAAUCAUUUUGGUAUUAUGGCAUGUAUAGGACAACUUGGACAAUAGUGGCUUGAAAUGUUAUUUUGUAACCUAGCCAUUGGAAUGACUAGUAAUGGUUUAUUUUGGUAUGACUAAGUAGAUUAUUAUGAUAUAUAUGCACACAUGUGUUAUGUUAAGAAUAUGUUAUCAAUGUUGUGAAUGCCUAAGUUAAACCAAGGUAAGUUUACAAACACAUAUGCAUGUAAUGGUAUGCUAUGAUGAAAUAUAGAAUUGCCUAAUUUGAAUGUUUGGAUUGGUUGGUAUUGGAUGUGUGUUUCAAGUGCAGGUCUUGGGUGAAAUUUUGGGUGAGAAAUGAAGCUAGAAAUGGCUUCAUUUUGUCCACACGGAUAGACACACGGGCAUGUGUCUAGACCGUAUGUGACACAUGGCCUGAUAACAUGGGCAUAUGGUUAGGCCGUGUGUCACCUGCAACUUAAUUUUGAGAAACAGAAUGCUUAGAAUUGAGGGCAGAGACACGAGCAUGUUCUCGGCCGUGUGUGCCACACGGUCUAGAACACCAGCGUGUGUCUUGGCUGUGUGAAACAUGCACCUAAUUUUGAAUUGAAUUAAUUGACUACAUGGCCUAGCAAACGGGCGUGUGGCAUGGCAAUGUGUGCAAGUUAGAGAGUUACACGGGGUCGAACACGACCUCUAGCACAGGCGUGUCCCUUGGAUCACACGACCGUGUGAGCCCUGCACCUUGGAAAAUUUUUGAAAAGUUGCGAAAAAUUCUUAAAAUUCCCGAUUCAGUCCCAACUCGAUUCUAAUGUUCGAUUGGGCCUCAAGGGCCUAAUCAAGGGACGUUAUGAAUAAUUUCGGUAAAUGAAUAGUAAUUUACAUAAAUUAUUUGUAAAAUGUUCUAAAAGUUUUGGUAAUGCUCUGAAACCCUGUUCCGACGACAGAUACUGGUUAGAGGUGUUACACCUAUAGAUAUGAUGACUAAGUCACUUCCUAUAACCAAGUUUGAGCAUUGCUUGGACUUGGUUGGUGUUUAUUAUUGACGAAUACCCCUUUAGGGGUUUUGUGGAAUAGGUGAAGAACUUGUUCGUUGAGAAUUCAUGUCAAGGUGGAGAUUGUUAGAGUUUGUGUGACCCGAAUCUUGUCACCUGUUGAAGAAAUAAAUAGUGGCCAAAUAAAGGGAUCUAUGAGGGCGAGAGAUCGAGAACCCGUAUAGAACUAAAUUUCUUCUAUUUGACAUUGAUUAGAAUAAAGAUUUUCAACCCUUAAAUAGAUGUAGUCGAAACUCCUCUUGUAUCAUUUGUUUUUCAACAUUAGUAAAUUUCUUCUCAUCUGCCUGUAGUUUUUUCUUGGAAGGGUUUUCACAUUAAAUAUGUAUAUUCUUAUUUUUCUUAUUUUGUGAUUAUUCUAUUGUCAUUAUUAGCGUCUAUUAUAAUAAAAAAUUUAUAAGAUUACUUUAAUAUUGUAUUAUUUUUAAAACUAAGACUGAUUGAAUUUUUAAUAUUUAUAAAAGUUGAAGAACUAAUUUACUUAUUUUAGAAAUUGACUAUGAGUACUUGCACUAAAAUAGAAAAUAACUAAACCCCAAACUGAUGUCAUUGAGGUUAAUUAUAUUUUUAAAUAUUUAAAUUUUAAAAUUCAAACUUGAUUAACUCAAACUGUUUAAUUAAAUUGAUCCGAUAAUUUGAAUAAUUCAAUUAACUAAAACUUAAAUCUUAAAAUUUUUAAUUUUUUGAAUUGAAUGAAUUUUAUUUUUUCCUUAAAAUAAACAUAACAAAAACAUAGUUUAACUAUUUAUAUUUUUUUCUUUAAAAAAUAUUAUUUAUAUUUUGGUCCUAUCAGUAAAACCACUCUACACCGUCCAUAUCCCGUAAUGCGAUUUUUCCUUGUUCUUUUAAAUGAAAUGAAACCAUAAUGAAAUUUGGGUGAUGCGAAAAAUCCAAACCAAACUGUAGGACAAGAUUUGAUUAAAGAAAGCGCCAAUUUUGCAGGUGAAAGAAAAGGGCAAUUCAGUCAAUUUAUUCUCACCAUUUCAUUGAAUUCGAAAUAAUAGGAGUCCGGAAACGACAGUGUGAAAAGGUAAAAGGCAGAAAAAGAAUAGCAAUCUGUAGACAUCGGGGAGUGGAGUGUUUUUGUCUUGCUCUGCAAUUUUUAUUUUAUAACUAAUUCCUUACACCAUAUUUUUUCUAAAACCCUUUUACAUUUCAUGUUUUCUUGACAACGUUUUUCUUUUUUUAAUUUCUCUAUAAAAUUUGAGGGUAAAAUACAAAAUAAAGAUUUUUAAAAAAAUUAAGAAAAUAGGCUAAAUUUUUUAAAAUUUAUGAAAAUGGGCUAAUUUUAGUAAAACGCUUUCCGCCGAAAAUAUUUUUAGGAAAAACUCAAAAAAAUAUUUUUAAUUGGAAGUACUUUUCACGUGUGACCGAUAAACACUCUAAUAUAUAUAUUUUUAAAGAAUCACAAAAGUAAAUAAUAAAACAAAAUUAUUUUUUAUCACUAUUGUUAUACCCCUCAACAUGAGAUGAUUAGAGAGAUACACGUUGGCGCCCUCCUCUCUCUACUGUCUGGGAAGUUCUCAAUUUCUCUGAAAGGAUCCCUAGUCACUCAUUCUUACGAACGAACUAUCUACUUCCUUUGGAAUGGUCUUGCGUACCCACCUUUAUGAACAACUCAUUCAUUCUACAAGGCGCCCGCUCUUCUAUUGAGAAUGUGAUUUUUAAGUCACCAAACCCUAUUUGAACAUAACAACCUUGUAUUGUGAUUUAUAAAAAAUAACAGAACGAGUCACAUCACAUACAUCCCCUCAUGUGCUCUACAAUGAUGGUAAUAUUUCCAAGCACGAAACCUCUAUUAUAUAUCCCCAGAUCGAUGAAGAAUAGAUCCCUAAAUUUUUAAAUUCAAAAAGUAGAUGACUAUAUUCUUGAAAAUAAAAGUAGGGGGAUAUUACCAUCUUAAAAAUUUAGGUCUAAUUAUUAACAUUGUUAAAAUUCUUCUAUUAAAUUCUCUGGCAUGACAUUUUAAAAUUAAAAAAAAUCAUUUGAUAGUCAUAUAACAAUAAAAAUAACGUUAAAAAUACUUAUAUGACUUUUCUUAAAAAUACUCAUUAGAAAUUUUCAUGAUAAAAUAAUUUUUUGUUGGAAUAUUGUUCUUAAGAAAAAUUGGCGUUAGGUUGAUUACUUUUUUUUGACUAAAUUAUAGAGUAAAAAUUCAAAGGUUGCAAUAUGCUCAAAGUUCUUAUAGUCUUCAUAUAUUUGGAAUUUAAUAUCCAUACUUUUAUUUUAAAGAAUUUAAUUCCUAUGCUUUUCGAAUAUUAAAAUUUAGGUCCAUUUUUUAACACUGUUAAAAUCUUUAUUUUAAAUUUAUCGGUGUGGCAUUUUGACAUUCAAAAAGAAAUACUUCAUUGGUAUCCAUGUAAUAAAAAAUGACAUUAUAAUAAACUUGAAUUUAAUUGAGAAUUUUAACGAUGGUAGCGAUUCUUAAAAAUUCACCUUAACAUUUUAAUCAGAAUAAAAUAUUUAAACUAACUAAUGACGCUAUAAAAGUUGAGGCACUAAAUUAAGUCAAAAUUAAAGUAUAAAGAUUAAAUCUUAAAUAUAAGUGAAAUAUAGGGAUUAAAAUUGAAAUUUAACCAUUCUUAAAUAAUUUUAAAGUAUAAAGUAUAGAUGUCUUAGAAACAAUUUUUUUUUUCAAAAUUAAUUGUCAAAUGUGAUCAAAUGUCAAUUUUAUAAUAUAUGUUAUCAAAUAUAAUCAUUUAUAAUAUAUGCUAAUUUUAUAAGGCAUUGAUAUCGUUUAUAAGAACUUAAGUUGUAGCCUUCAUUUUCUUCAAAGCUUAAGUUUGAAUUACUAUUAUAAAAAAAUAUCAUUUAUAUAUUGUCAACUUUAAACAUCAUAUGAAAAAAUUAGUGUAAUUAAUGUUUAAUGUAUAUUACAUUUGUUAAAUUAAAACUAAUUAAUUACAUUAACAAAUUAAAUUAAAAUAAAUUAUUAUAAGCACUAAAUAGACUAAAAUCAAACUUGUUAAUUAAUUCACACAUAAUUUUUAUACAUGAGAAUUAAAUCUAAACGCUUAAAAUCUCAAAACUUUACUCCUCGUUCACAAUAUAUGUUAUAUUUAUACUAAAAAAUUGUAAAAUACUACUCAUGUAAAAGAAGUCUAAAGAUGUGUUUGGAUGGGUGGUGUGUUUACAUAAGAUUAGUGUAAAAACAGUAAUGGUUGUGAAAUUAGAUAUUGUAGAGUGAGACAAAAAAUAAGGUAAACGCACCGCACCCAAUCGUUCAUCCAAACCCACCCUAAAUCUAAUUACUUAUAUGUGUUUGGUUUAAUGAAAUGAAAUAAAUAAAGAAUCUAAUAACUAUACGGUAAAAAUGAAAUAUAAAAAAUAAUAAAUUAUGCUGUUUGGUUGAUUAAAUGAAAUACACAAGUAAUAGUAUUAGGCUAUUGGGUUGGCUAGAUUGAUGGUAAGGAAUAAAAAAGUAAUAAAUGUUAAAUGACAAAAUUACCUUUAAGUUAAAUAAUGGUAUUUUUAUUAUUCUAUUAUUAUUAAAUGUUUAUAUAAAUUUAAUUUCAUUAAUAUAAAGAUCAAAUUUUAUAAAAAACUUUGAAAAAAAAACCCUAGCCAAUAGUGUUUUGCUUAAGCAUCCUAGAGGAACAGUUUAUUCUGCGGCUUGGGAUGAAGAAAAGUGGUGGUGAUGAGAGUUUUGUAGGAGAUGAGAUCUCCCUUUUAGCAGAAGAACUCAUUCAGUUAUCGGUUAAAAGUUCAAAGGUUGUACCAAGCGAGAAGCCAACCCUAAUCUGCACUAUUUGGACAAAAAAAAUCCUAUAAUCCAGAUAGUUUUAGGGCACAGAUGAAAAGUAUUUGGAAAACGAAGAAAAAAUUUGAGAUCCAAUUGGCAGGGCAGAACCUAUACUUGUUAGUGUUUGAUAGUGGAGAAGAUUUGGAGACAGUUAUGGAGGUACAACCAUGGCUAUUUAGGAAAAAUCUAGUGCUCUUUGAUCAGUUAACUACAUCGAUGGAAAGGAGUUAGAUUCGGCUUAAUUCAUCCCCAUAUUGGAUUAAGAUUCGUCCAUGCUUGCCAGAAUUCGAUAAAAAAAAUUUGAUGCAUGCUAUUAGGGCUACUUUUGGAGGUAUUAUGAGAUCUGAAAUUAAUGGGGAUUUCUGUCGACUUAGAGUGCAAUUAGAUGUACUAAAACCCUUGUGCAGGGGUAUUUUCGUCUCAACAGAAAAUCAGUGUAAGUCCUAGAUUCCUUCUAAAUAUGAAAAAUUACCAACAUUUUGCUUUGGUUGUGGAAUGAUGGGGCACGGGCUCACUGAAUGUCUUAAGUCAAUUCCUGUAGAAAAAAAUAAAAUUAGAGAUGAUCUUCAUUUUUCUUUAGCACUAAAAGUAGAAGUAAAUUUUAAUGGUAAGGAGAGUUUAAAGUUUAGUGCCUUUUCAAAAAAGAUGCAGACUCAAUGUUCAUAUACAGAUGGUAUAGAGAAAAUCUUUAAGCCAAUUUUUGAAGAAAAGGGUAAUACUGAUACUGACCAGAAUAGUCAGGAUGGUGCACAAUUCACAGGAAAGGUGACAGCAAUGAUGAUGCAGGAGAGAGCGAUAGUUAGAAAAGAAAACGAGAAUGGGGAAAUCAAUAAUCACGAAGGAAGAUCGAAGCCAAUCAGGAAGCCAAUAUGAAAGAGAUUAGAGACAAAAAGAGACAUGGAGAGUGGAAAUGGAGAGAGUAAAUUGAGAAAGAGAAAAUCAGAGGAUAUAGAAAUUGAAGAUGACAGAAAUAGAAAUUCUUGCGAGUGGAAGCAAAAAGAGUGAAGUUUGAUGACCAAGAUUCUCACAACAACGGGAACUCACUUUUGGUGACAGAAAAUCUCAAGCAAUGUGGUAUUACCAAUCAAGAUAGAUGGACGGCUGCCAGAUGGCAAGUCGACCGGACACAAUGAAAACUACCUGUUGGAACGUUCGUGGAUUGGGGAGUCUACGGGCAAUAAUAAGGCUUCAGUUUUUGCUAAAGCAACAUAAACCCCAAAUGGUUUUCCUCAUGGAGACCAAAAUCGAUGAAAAGCGUAUAGAAAGAAUUAGGAGGAGAUGUGGUUUCGAGAAUGGUAUUGAUGUUGGAGCAGAAGGCUCUAGAGGUGGAAUUUCUUUGGCAUGGAAAGCAGAAAUUACGGUUCGACUAAACAAUUUCUCUAAAAACCAUAUUGACGUGCUGGUAAAAGAGGAUAAUGUUAAUCAAGAGUGGAGAUUUACAGGGUUCUAUGGUUUGCCUUACAUUACUAAUAAGGAUGACUCGUGGAAUUUGUUGAGGAGGUUGGGUCAAAAUCAAAACCAUCCAUGGUUAGUAUGUGGUGCUUUUAAUGAAAUAUUGUAUUCUUUUAAAAAAAGUGAAGGUCAACCGAGGGAGGAAAAAAGAAUGAAAGUUUUUUACGAGGUUUUAGAAAAAUGUCAAUUAAUGGAUGUGGGGUAUUCGGGGGGUGGUUUACAUAGGAAAGAGGGAAUCUACCAGAAAUAAAUAUUAAAGAGCGAUUGCAUAGAGGCAUGGCAAAUGAAAAAUGGAUGCAUCUUUUUCCAAAAGGAGCUAUUUAUCACUUAGCAUACUCGAUUUCAGAUUAUUGUCCCUUACUUAUUAAUACUAAUAAAAAGACAAUUUUUAAAGGAAGCCCAAGUUUCAAGUUCGAGGCAUGGUGGACAAUGGAGGAAUCUAUUGAACAAGAGAUUAAAACUCGUAGGAAUCAUCGAAUGAAACUAUUGUUGAAAAGCUUGGAAGGUUGCAUAUUAGAUUGAUUAGGUGGGCAAGUUCAAUAAAGAGAGGCAGUGAUGGGUUAAAGAAUAAGCUGAUGAAAGAACUUGACGAGUUAAUGGCAAGGGAUAGAGAUGAUGACACAUUGGUAAAACUGAUUGAUACUAGGAUUCAACUCAAUAUGGAGAUUGAUAAAGAUGAAAUGUACUGGGAACAAAGGGCACGAGCCAAUUGGCUUCAAUUAGGAGAUAAUGGAUCCAACUUUUUUCCAUAAACAUGCCUUAGUUCGUAGACGAAUUAACACUAUUACUAGGCUGGAAACGGAAGACGAGAGGGAUAUCUUUGGUGAAAUAGCAAUUAAUAAGGCAACUUCAAAUUACUUCCAGAACUUAUUUUCUUCAUGGGGGAUUGGCAAUUUAUCCCACCUUCUAAAAUGUAUUAAUUCUAAUAUUUCAUCGGAUAUUAAUGUAGAUUUAUUAGUACCUUUUACAGAAGAAUAAGUAUUUUUAACUUUGAAAGGAAUGGGGCCCACUACAACACCUGGUUGUGACGGCUUUUCAGCUUUAUUUUUUCAAAAAUUCUGGCACAUUGUAGGUAAAGAUGUUGAAAAUUUUUGUUUAGGAAUUCUGAAUGAGGGAAGAGAUAUAAACUCUAUAAAUAUCACAGACAUUGUGCUUAUCCCUAAACUACCAAAUCCCACGAGUCUUGUUAAUUUCAGAACUAUCAACUUAUACACAGUUUUAUACAAAAUUAUGGCAAAAGUAAUCACUAAUCGCCUUCAAGGAGUAAUUGGAGAAUGUAUUGACAAGGCUCAAAGUGCUUUUAUCCCUAGAAGGCUACUUACUGACAAUGUGCUUGUGUCCUAUGAACUCUUACAUACACUACGUCAAAAACGAAUUGGGAAAAAGAGGCUUAUGGCAGUCAAACUAGAUAUGAGCAAAGCUUACGACAGAGUUGAAUGGGCUUUUCUAAAGGAAGUUAUGAUUCAAAUGGGAUUUGCAGUGGAGUGGGUGACUUUAAUCAUGAAGUGCAUCUCCACAGUCUCGUACACAGUGAGUGUCAAUGGAAGAAGAUGAGAUGUUUUUAAACCCACCAGAGGGCUUCGUCAGGGAGAUCCGCUUAGUCCUUUUCUUUUCUUGAUAUGCAGUGAAGGACUCUCGUGGCUAAUAAGAAUGUCAAAAGUGGAGGGAUCCAUGAAGGGAGUAAGAGCUAGAAGAAGAGGACUAGAAAUAUCACAUCUGCUGUUUGCAAAUGAUUGCAUACUGUUUGGAGAAGCGACACAUAAAUGGGUAAAAAUUUUAAAAGGAAUUUUAAGAGAAUAUGAAUAGUGCUCAGGCCAAUGUGUGAAUUUUGGUAAAUCGAUAAUUUUUUAUAGUUCAAAUACAACUGAAAGAGACAAAGCAGAAACUUCGAGUAUGUUAGUUGUUCGAUGCUCCACCAAUCUGGAAAAAUAUCUAAGACUCCCUACUGUUAUAGGCAGGCGAAAGAAUGAAGCUUUUCAAAAUCUCAAGGAUAAAGUGAAUACUGUCAUAAGGGGGAAAGGAGGUCUUUAUAAAAUCUAUUCUUCAAGCAAUUCCAACCUAUGCUAUGUCAUGUUUCCUCUUACCAAAAUCGUUAUGUAGGAAGCUGGAAAAUAUUUUCACAAAAUUCCAGUGGCAAAAAGGUCAGGGAAGGAAAUGGAUUCACUAGUGCCGAUGGAAUUUUAUGUGUCGAUCAAAAGAUGAGAAGGGAAUGGGCUUUAGAAAUUUAGUGCAAUUUAGUAUUUCACUAUUAGCUAAGCAGGGGUGGAGGCUUAUUACAAACCAGAAUUCCUUAGUUACGCAAGUGUUUAAAGCUAAGUGUUUUCCGAAUGAUAAUUUUUUAAAUUCUCGAUUGGGGAAAACCGAUUCUUACAUAUAGAAAAGCAUGUGUACAGCGAAGGGUGUUUUGGAAAAAUACAUGUAUUGGAAGGUCGGUACAGGUACACGUAUAUAUAUCAAUACUGAUGCUUAGAUUCUAGAUGCUGUUAAUUUUAAGUUAUCUUCAGUUAUUAAUGCCAUGCAAGAUGUUAAGGUCAAUGAGUUGAUCAACAGUAAUGAGAGAACAUGGAAGUGAGAUUUCAUAAACAAUAAAUUUUCCGCAGAUGAUGCUGGAAAAAUCCUUCGUAUCCCUUUAGCACGCACACCUCACGAAGAUUUCUUGGUCUGGGGAGGUGAGUAUUCAGGUGAGUUUUCGGUUCGCAGUGCCUAUAAACUAUUACAAUAAACUAUUACAAGGUUUGGAGGAAAUUCCUAGAGCUUACACUUUACAAACAGGCUAUAUGAACUUUUACAAAAAACUAUGGCUCCUUAAUCUACCAAGCAAAAUUAAGGUUACAAUAUGGAGAAUCUCAUGGAAUUAUUUGUCGACAAGGGUUAAUAUGCAGUAGCAUUAGCUCGUCAGUAACACAAACUGCCCUCGGUGCGGUGAAAGUGCUGAAACAAUCGACCAUAUUUUUCGCAAAUGUCCUGUCACAGUGGAAGUUUGGUCACUAUUAAAAAUUCAGAAUUUGAUUCUGGUUCCUAACAUGGAUUUUUUAUAGUGGAUUACCUGGAUUUUUGAUCUAUUUUUUAAAGGGCAACAAAUAGCAGACUUCAUCAACAACUAUAUUGUUGAACCUAAUGGGCUUGAAAUAAGAAGGUCAAUUAAGGGAAAGGAAACAAGAAAGUGGAGCUACCCACAUCGCGAAUUCGUUAAAAUAAAUUUUGAUGGUGCGUAUGAUGCGACUCACCAUAAAUCUGCCUCAGGGGUUGUGGUCAGAGACGAGGAAAGGCUUGUCCUUCUUUCCUACUCAGAGAUCAACCACGGGGUAUCUUCCGCAUUUGCAGCCGAAGCAAUAGCGUGUAGAAAAGCGGUCAAAGUAGGAGUGGGACAACAAUGGCCGAAGGUGAUAAUAGAAGGCGACUCCCUCACGAUAAUCAAAAAAUGCACAACCAAAAGUCAAGAUCGUUCACAUAUAGGAGCUUAUAUACACGAUAUACAACAAAACAUUAACAGAUCGAGAAGCUUCUUUUUCAAACGUACAAUAAGAUCUGCAAACAACCUUGCGCAUGUAAUAACAACGGAAACUUUAAGAAGGAAGGAGGAGACGUACCUGGAAAUGGGGGUUCCGGUGUAUGCUGAGAUUCAACAAAGAAUGGAUCAGAGACGAGAGCCAGAUUGAUAACAGAGGGGAAACAGAGAAAUGAAAGGAAAGUAAAGGAAAGUCGGAGAAAUGGUUUUUGAAAGGAUAAACUUUCCUAAAAGCUGAAUCGUUAAAAGAAAAUUGAAAGGUACAUUGAUGAUACGACGGUUUACAGUAUGAUCUGACUGGGCAUUAAUUAGGUACAUCAAUCUAUAAUUUUUGACUGUUUGAUAAAUAUCUAGAUAUUUUCUAAUUAGUUUUUGAGCCUUUUUAGUUUCAGGCCGUGUCUUGUUUAGGUGCUGAUUGGUUUUCUCUUUUGCUUUUGGACUUUUACUAUGUACUUUUAUUUUAUUCAGUAUACAGCCCAGUCUGAAUUCUUUCAAAAAAAUUCAUUAAUAUAAUUCAGAAA